UAAUACGGAGGUGGCAAGCGUUACUCGGAUUUACUGGGUGUAAAGGGCACGUAGGCGGCCCGAUAAGCUCUGCCUAAAAUGCACUGGCUUAACCAGGGCGUGUGGUGGAGGACUGCUGGGCUUGAGGAUGACAGAGGCGAGCGGAAUUCCCGGUGUAAGGGUGAAAUCUGUAGAGAUCGGGAGGAACACCAGUGGCGAAAGCGGCUCGCUGGGUCAUUUCUGACGCUAAGGUGCGAAAGCUAGGGGAGCAAACAGGAUUAGAUACCCUGGUAGUCCUAGCCGUAAACGAUGGACACUAGGUGUCGGUUCCGUCAGGAAUCGGUGCCGUAGCCAACGCGUUAAGUGUCCCACCUGAGGAGUACGGCCGCAAGGUUG
rnacentral:rRNA from 1 species